GGGAGUGAAAUAGAACCUGAAACCCUGCACUUACAAGCUGUGGAAGCACAUUUCUUGUGUGACCGCGUACUUUUUGUAGAACGGGCCAAGGAGUUACGUUAAGUAGCAAGGUUAAUCAAUUAAGGUGCGGGGCCGAAGCGAAAGCGAGUUUUAACUGAGCGUUCAGUUACUUGACGUAGACCCGAAACCGGGCGAACUACCCAGGAGCAGGAUGAAGCGAAAGUAAAAUUUCGUGGAGGUCCGAACCCACGAGCGUUGAAAAGCUCGGGGAUGACUUGUGGGUAGCGGUGAAAUUCCAAUCGAGCCCGGAGAUAGCUGGUUCUCCCCGAAAUAGCUUUAGGGCUAGCCUCAAGGUGAGAGAUACGGAGGUAGAGCACUGAAUGUCCUAGGGGGUAUUGCACCUACCGAAGACUAUCAAACUCCGAAUGCCGUCAUCUUAUACUUGGGAGUCAGACUGUGGGUGAUAAGAUUCAUAG
rnacentral:rRNA from 1 species